CACGCCAGUUGUGUUGUGAAUCCGGAGCUUAGAGCGACGACUGAAUUGAAUUGGAUUGAUUGGAUUGAAUUGAAUUGAGCUGAAUUGAAACUGAAAGACGGGACAUUCUGGUUUGGAGCCUGUUCUUUGAUUGCAUCUUUAUUGCCAGUUCAUCUCUUCAUCUGUGGUUCUGCCCGGAAAAUUCGGAAGAGUCUUGCGAGUCUGUCAGUGCCACAGAGCUCUCUAUUUUCAAGAGUGGAAUUUAUACAUAUUUGUAUUUAAAGUAAUAAAUUAUUGUUCAGUUA